UGUUCCUCAAACCAUUCCUGAACAAUUUUUGCAAGGUGGCAGGGCGCAUUAUCCUGCUGAGAGAGGCCACAGCCAACAGGAAACACCAUUACCAUGAAGGGGUGUACGUGCUCUGCAACAAUCUCUAGGUAGGGUGUACGUAUUAAAGUAAUGUCCACAUGAAUGCCAGAACCCAAGGUUUCCCAGCAGAACAUUGCCCAAAGUUUAACACUUACUCCACCAUCCUGCCUUCUUCCUAUAAUGCAUCCUGCUGCCAUCUCUUCCCCAGGUAAACGACACACACAGAGCCAGCCAUCCAACUUAUCUAAAAGAAAAUGUGAUUCAUCAAACCAGACAACCUUCAUCCAUUGCUCCAUGGUUUAGUUCUGACACUCACAUCCCCAUUGACCGCGCUUUUGGAGUUAGACCAUGGUCAUCAUGGGCACUCUGACCAGUCUGUGGCUACGCCGCAACAGACAAAGCAAAUUACGAUGCGUUGUGUGUUCUGACAUCUUUCUAUCACGGCCAGCAUUACGUUUUUCAGCAAUUUGAGCUACAGUAGCUCUUCUGUUUGAUCGGACCAGAUCUUAUGGCUUUUACUGCCCCAGGUGUAUCAAUGAGCCUUGGGCGCCCACGAUCCUGACGCCAGUUCACCAGUUGUCCUACCUCACACCGCUUUUGCUAAGUACUAACCACUGCAUAUUGGAAACAAGACUUGCCGUUUUGGAGAUGCUCCAACCCAGUCGUCUAGCCAUCAU